rnacentral:lncRNA from 1 species
CCCUAGCUAGGAUCAAUUAUCCAGCGUUAACAUCUAUGACAACAAUUGCCCAUGACCUAGUUUUAUCCGUAUGGUGCUUGUUUGAACCAACCAUCAUAGGAUAUCAGUAACUCUAAGGUUCUUGAAUAUUUUCGAGCCCAUUCAAUCAAUUGGAGUUUAUUUGCUUAAAACAUGCUUUGGAUUGUUUGUUAAAUGCACAUG